GAUGAACGCUGGCGGCGUGCCUAAUACAUGCAAGUCGAGCGAACAGACGAGGAGCUUGCUCCUCUGACGUUAGCGGCGGACGGGUGAGUAACACGUGGAUAACCUACCUAUAAGACUGGGAUAACUUCGGGAAACCGGAGCUAAUACCGGAUAAUAUAUUGAACCGCAUGGUUCAAUAGUGAAGGACGGUUUUGCUGUCACUUAUAGAUGGAUCCGCGCCGCAUUAGCUAGUUGGUAAGGUAACGGCUUACCAAGGCGACGAUGCGUAGCCGACCUGACAGGGUGAUCGGCCACACUGGAACUGAGACACGGUCCAGACUCCUACGGGAGGCAGCAGUAGGGAAUCUUCCGCAAUGGGCGAAAGCCUGACGGAGCAACGCCGCGUGAGUGAUGAAGGUCUUCGGAUCGUAAAACUCUGUUAUUAGGGAAGAACAAAUGUGUAAGUAACUAUGCACGUCUUGACGGUACCUAAUCAGAAAGCCACGGCUAACUACGUG
rnacentral:rRNA from 1 species